UGGGAGCCAUUUUGUGGCUCAGUGGUAGAGCGCUUGCCUAACACAUGUGAGGCACUGGGUUCGAUCCCCAAAACUACAUAAAAAAGCUAAAUUAAAUGAAGGUAUUGUGUCCAUCUACAACUAAAAAUAAAAAAUAAAAUAAACCUCAGGCCGGGCCAGGUGGAGCAUGCCUGUAAUCCCAGCAGUUUGGGAGGCUGUGGCAGGAAGAUCAUGAGUUCAAAGCCAGCCUCAGCAAAAGCAAGGCACUAGCACUCAGUUGUUGGGGACCACAGAUCAAGUCAAGAUGGCGCCUGGCAGUUUGCCAGGAGGAGUGGUUUGUGAAGCUACGCCACCGUGCCAUUAAGUUGGUGGAGAUUCCUUAUUGGCUGAAUGCCAUAACUGGAUGAUGCUAAUUGAGUCUAGCUGUGUGUAAUCAGUUAGGUCUAUAUACCUCUGCUGUUUUGCAAUAAGGCGGCUCCUGCUACCUUGGGUUCCACUACCUUGAGUUCUCGCUCAGUUCCCACUAAGUUUUCCCUACAAUAAAGCAGUUCCCGCUUCAACCUUCAAGUUGCUUGUCACCUCCCAGUUAUUUGCCCAGCCGGACUGCGGCACUCAGUGAGACCCUGUCUCUAAAUAAAAUACAAAAUAGGGCUGGGGACGUGGCUCAGUGGUAGAGUUCAAUCCUCGGUACCCCUCCUCCCAAAAAAAAGUAAUAAUAAAAGGCCUGGAGAGUGAAGGGAUAAUUAAGACUAAAAGUAGUGAAAAACCAGCCUCUACCUCAGAGCAAAGCCUGUCCAAGGAAGGGACAUGACCUUUGUCCUUGAAAAAAACCACAGAGCACUCCUAGGCACAUUCCUACCCUGCAAAGUGGUUUAUCUACAAAUAACAGGAGAGAUCUGCUGCGCCAGGUAUCCCUGUCUCAGGCUAGGUGGGGACCCAUACCAACCCCCAGCAGCCCCAAUCAGCAUGAGACAGGGAAAUACCUGGGAUGCCAGAUGACCCUCCCAGUAGUUUAUGGUGUUGGGAAACCAUGUAGUUCAGCACGAAUACCCCCCUUGGCUUAAACCAAUCAGUUCAAAUGAAUCCCCCUCUGGUACUAACCAAUCACCCUUACCCAACUUGUUCCCGCCAGUGUAUGUGCUAAUCAUGUUUUAGAGUUGUUAUUUGAUUUUCCAGCGGUGUGUGAUGAUUUGCUAAUAGAUACUAUGAUGUAUAUGGGGGUCCCUGCCUUCCCCAAAGAGUGUAUAAAACUGCUGCAAACCCUGGGCUUGGGGCCUCUCAGUGUCACCAGUUGCUGUGUGCACGAGGAGGACCAAGCUAGCUCGAAAUAAAC
rnacentral:lncRNA from 1 species